AUUCCUACGGGGGGCAAGCGUUAUCCGGAUUUACUGGGUGUAAAGGGAGCGUAGACGGCAGAGCAAGUCUGAAGUGAAAGCCCGCGGCCCAACUGCGGGACUGCUUUGGAAACUGCCCGGCUAGAGUGCUGGAGAGGUAAGCGGAAUUCCUAGUGUAGCGGUGAAAUGCGUAGAUAUUAGGAGGAACACCAGUGGCGAAGGCGGCUUACUGGACAGUAACUGACGUUGAGGCUCGAAAGCGUGGGGAGCAAACAGGAUUAGAUACCCCUGUAGUCCACACU
rnacentral:rRNA from 1 species